UCUUUUUCUUUUUUUUCUUUCCUUUUUUCUCUUUUUUUCUCUAUCUUUUUUUUUCUGACUUUUUUCUCUCUCUUUUUUUUUCUCCCUCUUUCCAAGACAAACUAGAUAAGAUGCAGAUUGGAUCAGGCGAAGAUGUGAAUGACCUCAACUAUGAUUAUGACAAUGAACAGUGCGUAGCACGUGGUGGAAAUUAAUAGAUGGGAUGGUGGACGGCGGAAGGGAUAAUGAUGCAGCGGCGGCGUGACUAAUGUGAACAGAACUCGAAACUCUAAAGGAACUAGACACUAAGACCAGCAACUGACACGACGAUGCAACCGAUAAUUCAACUAUGCAAGCAAUGAAUAGAAAUUUGCAAAGGCUCAGACUGGCUUGGAUAAAGGAUGAACAGAUCUAACUUUUUUUGUGGCUUUUUCAUGGACUAUAGGUAUGAAUGACAGAUGCGAUCUAAACUAUGAAAAACUGUAAAAUCUCACCGAGCAACCUGAAAACUGAUACCACUUGAUAGAGGCGAGGGUCCCGAUCUUUCGAUGAGAUGAUAACUAUCGAUUUGGUGGAGACGACUUUGACGAUCCGACUACAAACGUGCACGACGUUGCGCCUUAGCAAUCGCUAAACCAAUCUCCUGAGGUUACUGACGAUGCUGGAAGCACGGUCAACCUGACCACGAAGGUCUAUUCCUGCAAGCAAUCGAAGAACGAGCAAGAAUAUGAUAAAGCAAUCUGAAUAUUGCAAAUAUAUAUGAAGUAUUGAUAAUGGUGGGGAUCCGGAAGCGGUCUUGGUCUGGUCGUUGGACACAAACGAAGUACACGAAGUUGCAAUGGCUAACUUUUAACUAAACAAAUCCCAAGGAAAAGCUACUAGAUGGAUCUACUUAUAUAGGAGCAAGGGGUGGCGGCCAAGGAGGUGGGAGGACGUCCCAAGGCAGCCUAAAACUAAAUCUAGGUCGUACAAGGCCAAUGGGCCCAAGUGGAGGUGAUGUAACACCUUUGGACUUGUAGUUUGACUCGGAUUCUGCUGCAGCAUCAGAUUGUUUCAUCCACAACUCAACGCUCCUGACGAAUUUGAUGGUGAUUCCAAUUGGGUUGGAAAGUGCACGAAAUCUAGUUUCCAACAAAAAAAGAAUCACCCAAUUCGGAGUCCGUAUGAAAAACUUGUGUGUGUUUUGAGUCAGGUGUGUCUGUGCAGUCCGAAUCUGAAUCCAGAACGUGAGAGACUUGGACUCUAUCUUCUCUUGGGCCAAAAGUGACGUGAGAGAACUUUUUGGACAGCAAAUAAAUAUCUCUUUCUUCCUUAUCUUCAUAUGUGGAUUGUACAAAUGUCCCAUACACCUGCAAUUAGACAAAACACAAAAGUGUGUGAAGUAUUUUUGUUUUGGAUAACAUAAAUAGAUUAUUGAAUAGUUUGCACUAGAAAUCACCUGACAAAUAUGCAUAUAUGCAAUAUUUUUGGUCAUAUCCAAGGUAGUCAUGUCCUCAUCAAUGAAGCCUUGGACGAAAUAUACAAGAUGCCACUUCAUAAAUUUCGUCCCGAGGCUAUUUUAGGUGCUGCGUCACCUUAUUAUUGGGCCAGGCCCAUGUAAUUUCGAAAUACAUAAGUAUAGGCUAUUUUUAGAGUCCGUAUGUGUGGGGAAACAAGAGAUAGGGUUGAUUUCGGACCCCUCCACCAAGGGCCACGAAAUUCCCCCCCUCUUCCUCCAUAUAUACAGCCCUUAGGGCAUCGUUUAGACUUUGGGUUUUGUUUAGAUUAAAAGUUCGCCAUAGCUGCAACUUCGCACACUUCGUUUGUGUUCAACGACCAGACAAAGGCGUCACAGAACCCCACCUUGAUCAAUAAAGCUUUCAUCUUAUAUUGGCAAUAUCCAGAUUGCAAUCUUAGUUUCUUGCUUGUUCUUCGUUUGCUCGCAGGAAACAGACCCUCGUGGUCAGGUUGAUCGUGCUCCGGCGUGGUCAAUAACCUCUCGGAGUUGGUUUAGCGAUUGCUAAGGCGCGACGUCCUUGCACGUUCGUAGUCGGAUCGUCAAAGUCGACUUCCACCAAAGCGAAAUCCACCAUCUCAUCGAAAGACGGGACACCUUUGCCUCUAUCAAUUGGAUGUAGUAAGGAUGUGGAUGUGGUCUUGUGGUGAGAGAAAGCUUCUCGACCAUCUCCAUGCUAGCCAAGUUGUUGCAGCUCCCUCCGUCUAUGAUGACGCGCACAGAACGUUCCUUCACAACUCCCUUGGUAUGGAACAAAUUGUGCCUCUGAUUUUGCUCAGCUUGUGUGAUCUGCACACUCAAAACACGUUGAGCAACUAAACAUUCAUACCUGUCAGCGUCUUCAGGAGCCAUGUAUUGCAUCUCAUGAUCAGAAUCAUCUCCACCAUGUUCUUCACGUGUAAUAAGAGCCAAAGUCUCCUCAUCAUAGUCACUAGCGGACUCAUAUCCACCAUCCGCGGUAGCAAUCAUCACACGCGGAGAUUUGCAUUCUCUCGCAUAAUGACCUCCUCCCUUACAACGACGACAAAUAAUAUCACUUGUGUGCCCUGUUGAUGCCAUGGAAGAAGAAGAACGCUGUGCAGGCCCCGCAGGUGCGCUCUUGGCAGAUAAUGGUGGUUGUGCCUGUUUUCUUGUAUCACGGCUGGAGGUGGCACCGGAUGGAGGUGCUGGUGCAGUUGAAGUAGAAGAUGCACGUGGUGUCCAUGAUGAAGGUCGGCCUGCAGAAAAGGUAGUUCGCCCCAAUGCUUGUCGAUCCUGCACUUCACGUUCAGCUUUACAAGCAAGAUGGAAUAAACGAGUGAUAUUAGUAUACUCCUUAUAGUCUAGAAUGGUCUGAAUCUCUCUAUUUAAUCCACCCAGAAAACGUGCAAGCAUAGCUUCAUUCUCCUCAACAAUACCACAUCUAAUCAUGCCAGUUUGUAAUUCCUGAUAAUAUUCUUCUACAGAAUUUUUUCCUUGUCUUAAACGCUGCAAUUUUUGAAGCAAUUCACGUUGAUAAUAUGGUGGAACCCAACGCGUACGCAUAGCAGUUUUCAAAGCAGCCCAAGUAGUUGGAAUAUGAUAUAAUCUACAAUGUUCAGACCACCAUACACAUGCAAAACUAGUGAAAGCACAAACAGCAGCAGCAACUCGUCUCUCCUCAGGAUAUUGUAAACAUGUAAAUCGUUGUUUAGUUUCUAACUCCCAAGUAAGAUAUAUAUCAGGAACAUAUCUACCCUCAAAUGGUGGAAUAUUCAAUUUCAGUUUAGGAAUAUGGACAUCAUCUCGUACCUGAGGUGGUGGUGCAGGCCUACCAUUACGAAUAUAUACCUGAGGUCGACCUGCUGGUGGUGGUACAGGUGGCUGCACGUGAUGAGGACAUCAAUACAAUUGUUACACCCACAGCCCCUGCUGCUAUACAUACUGGACCAAUUACUAGAGCUCGUGCACGCCAACUAAAUUACCAGGUACUUUCGUUUCUUGGUAAUGAUUCUAAUGUUCAUGAGAAUAUGAUGCUGCCUAAAUUGGAUACAUUUGUUUUGCUUACAAAUGAAGGGCCUAGCUUGGAGAAGGAUGAACAUUGGAGCAAGAACAAGCAUGGAGAUGAUGGCAUGCGCAAGGGAAACAAGAACGGAGUUACAAGUGAUGAUUUCAGGACUUUGAAGCCACCAUAAUGGGUGCAUGAAGCCAUGGACGAAAUAUACAAGAUGCCACUUCAUAAAUUUCGUCCCGAGGCUAUUAUAGGUGCUGCGUCACCUUUUUAUUGGGCCAGGCCCAUGUAAUUUCGAAAUACAUAAGUAUAGGCUAUUUUUAGAGUCCGUAUGUGUGGGGAAACAAGAGAUAGGGUUGAUUUCGGACCCCUCCACCAAGGGCCACGAAAUUCCCCCCCCCCCUCUUCCUCCAUAUAUACAGCCCUUAGGGCAUCGUUUAGACUUUGGGGUUUUGGUUUAGAUUAAAAGUUCGCCAUAGCUGCAACUUCGCGUACUUCGUUUGUGUUCAACGACCAGACAAAGGCGUCACAGAACCCCACCUUCAUCAAUAAAGCUUUCAUCUUAUAUUCGCAAUAUCCAGAUUGCAAUCUUAGUUUCUUGCUUGUUCUUCGUUUGCUCGCAGGAAACAGACCCUCGUGGUCAGGUUGAUCGUGCUCCGGCGUGGUCAAUAACCUCUCGGAGUUGGUUUAGCGAUUGCUAAGGCGCGACGUCCUCGCACGUUCGUAGUCGGAUCGUCAAAGUCGACUUCCACCAAAGCGAUAUCCAUCAUCUCAUCGAAAGACGGGACACCUUUGCCUCUAUCAAGUGGUAUCAGAUUUCCAGGUUGCUCGGUGAGAUUUUACAGUUUUUCGUAGUUUAGAUCGAGUCUGUUCUUCAUACCUAUAGUCCACGAAAAAGCCACAAAAAAAAAUUAGGGUUAGUUCAUCAUAUCCGAACCAAUCUGAGCCUUGCAUAAUCUUUUUAGGGUUUUGCUUUGUUGAAUUUGCGGUUGCAUCGUCGUGUCUAGUUGCUGGUCUUAGAGUCUAGUGUUUUAGAGUUUCGAGUUCUGGUCAUAAGUUGUCACGCCGCCGCCGCACCAUCAUCAUCCCCCCUGCCAUCUACCACCACCGCACCGAAUCCGUAUCCAUAUACCACCACCAAUCCGUGUCCAUAUACCACCACCGAUCCAUAUCCAUAUACUACCACCGCUACCACCAUCGCUGCCAUAUACCACCACCAUAUAUCCACCACCAAUCCGAGUUCCUUGCUUAUUAGGGUUGUUUUCGAGAUCCAUCUAGAUUCCGAUUCGUGUUUCCUUGCCGGAGUAGGUGUCGGAAAAAAAAAAGAGUCGGGUAGCCACGCUCCGUUUAGGCCCAAAAUUUUUCGAAAACGCAUUUUUUGAAAAAUUUUCUGGCUAUCCUAUUUUUAGGUGUUUCUGAGUGUUUUGAGACAGGUGCCAUUAUAGGAAGUUUUUUUGACCCGUUUCCAGUUUUUGGGUCCGGGCAGUCGAAAAAAAAAAUUUGGUCGAAAAAUUUCGUGCCCAUCCUGUCAGUUUGAGCUAGGAAGAGUUUUGAGACACUCGCCAUUAUAGUGAUUUUUCGCAAAAAAAAAAAGCAGCGCAAAAAAAAAAGAGCGCAAAAAAAAAGAGCGAAUUUUUUUUUUCAGAGUGUGCUUUUCCCUUGUUUACGUGCCGCGCCGUGAUUUUGUUGGUGUUCUAGGCUCGCGUCUCUAGCACAGUCUAGCCUAGGACCAUCACAGUACCGUCGUUGAGCGUUUAUUCAACUUUGCAUCUCUGAAUUGAUUAUUGCUGACCCUUUUUGCUACCAUAUUAUAAGCCUUCCCAGCUCCACAUACAUCUACGUCGUGCGUUUGACUCUCCCUGGUAAUCGCUCUAUCCAAGCUUUGAGAGUUUUGACUACAACGGUUGCCGAUCACCGCCUGUUGCUGGGUAAGAACUGGUAAGAAUUUGAGUUUUGCUUGACGGAUUUGUGACACCCACCACCACCACUUGUUCGUAGUCUGUAGGAUCAUAUUCUUGUGUAUUUCUAUUGCUGCUAACCAUGCCAGGAUCACAAGCCGACGAGAUUGACUGGGAGAAUUUAUCGAACAAGGAGCUUCAUGAUAAGUUUCAGCAAAUGAUGACUGAACAGGUGCAAGAUGUGCUGAACAAUUUUGAAGAGGCCAUGGAGAAGAUCACUGGCCUUGAGAAGACGUUCGAAACAAAGCUCGAUAACAGAUUUAAUGAAUUGCUCGCGCGUCUUCCACCACCACCACCCGCUGCACCUAACGCACCUCUCCAACAACAACAACAACGACUGCCUCCACGUCGCGAAAUAGACCUUCGCCGAGCGAGCCAUGUUCCUCUUGCGUUUGGCCAAACUGUUGGUGCUGCUGUUGAUACUUCUGUGGCUCCUGCUACUGCUGUUGCUGGUACCCAGGAGGAUGAUGAGUAUGCGGGCGAUUAUGAGGAUGAGGUUGAUCAAAAUCAGAUCUACGAGCAGCCACCAGCACCACCACCAGCAGGUCGACCUCAGGUAUAUAUUCGUAAUGGUAGGCCUGCACCACCACCUCAGGUACGAGAUGAUGUCCAUAUUCCUAAACUGAAAUUGAAUAUUCCACCAUUUGAGGGUAGAUAUGUUCCUGGUAUAUAUCUUACUUGGGAGUUAGAAACUGAACAACGAUUUACAUGUUUACAAUAUCCUGAGGAGAGACGAGUUGCUGCUGCUGUUUGUGCUUUCACUAGUUUUGCAUGUGUAUGGUGGUCUGAACAUUGUAGAUUAUAUCCUAUUCCAACUACUUGGGCUGCUUUGAAAACUGCUAUGCGUACGCGUUGGGUUCCACCAUAUUAUCAACGUGAAUUGCUUCAAAAAUUGCAGCGUUUAAGACAAGGAAAAAAUUCUGUAGAAGAAUAUUAUCAGGAAUUACAAACUGGCAUGAUUAGAUGUGGUAUUGUUGAGGAGAAUGAAGCUAUGCUUGCACGUUUUCUGGGUGGAUUAAAUAGAGAGAUUCAGACCAUUCUAGACUAUAAGGAGUAUACUAAUAUCACUCGUUUAUUCCAUCUUGCUUGUAAAGCUGAACGUGAAGUGCAGGAUCGACAAGCAUUGGGGCGAACUAACUUUUCUGCAGGCCGACCUUCAUCAUGGACACCACGUGCAUCUUCUACUUCAACUGCACCAGCACCUCCAUCAGGUGCCACCUCCAGCCGUGAUACAAGAAAACAAGCAGAACCACCAUUAUCUGCCAAGAGCGCACCUGCGGGGCCUACACAGCGUUCUUCUUCUUCCAUAGCAUCAACAGGGCACACAAGUGAUAUUAUUUGUCGUCGUUGUAAGGGAGGAGGUCAUUAUGCGAGAGAAUGCAAAUCUCCGCGUGUGAUGAUUGCUACCGCGGAUGGUGGAUAUGAGUCCGCUAGUGACUAUGAUGAGGAGACUUUGGCUCUUAUUACACGUGAAGAACAUGGUGGAGAUGAUUCUGAUAAUGAGACGCAAUACAUGGCUCCUGAAGACGCUGACAGGUAUGAAUGUUUAAUUGCUCAACGUGUUUUGAGUGUGCAGAUCACACAAGCUGAGCAAAAUCAGAGGCACAAUUUGUUCCAUACCAAGGGAGUUGUGAAGGAACGUUCUGUGCGCGUCAUCAUAGACGGAGGGAGCUGCAACAAUUUGGCUAGCAUGAAGAUGGUCGAGAAGCUUUCUCUCACCACAAGACCACAUCCACAUCCUUACUACAUCCAAUGGUUCAAUAACAGCGGCAAGGUUAAGGUAACACGUACUGUUCGUGUGCAUUUUAGUAUAUCUACAUAUGCUGAUUAUGUUGAUUGUGAUGUGGUACCUAUGCAAGCAUGUUCCUUAUUACUUGGUAGACCAUGGCAAUUUGAUAAAAAUUCUGUACACCAUGGUAGAAACAAUCACUAACCUCUCGGAGUUGGUUUAGCGAUUGCUAAGGCGCAACGUCGUGCACGUUUGUAGUCGGAUCGUCAAAGUCGUCUCCACCAAAUCGAUAGUUAUCAUCUCAUCGAAAGAUCGGGACACCCUCGCCUCUAUCACAAAGUCUAAACGAUGCCCUAAGGGCUGUAUAUAUGGAGGAAGAGGGGGGAAUUUCGUGGCCCUUGGUGGAGGGGUCCGAAAUCAACCCUAUCUCUUGUUUCCCCACACAUACGGACUCUAAAAAUAGCCUAUACUUAUGUAUUUCGAAAUUACAUGGGCCUGGCCCAAUAAUAAGGUGACGCAGCACCUAAAAUAGCCUCGGGACGAAAUUUAUGAAGUGGCAUCUUGUAUAUUUCGUCCAAGGCUUCAUGCACCCAUUAUGGUGGCUUCAAAGUCCUGAAAUCAUCACUUGUAACUCCGUUCUUGUUCCCCUUGCGCAUGCCAUCAUCUCCAUGCUUGUUCUUGCUCCAAUGUUCAUCCUUCUCCAAGCUAGGCCCUUCAUUUGUAAGCAAAACAAAUGUAUCCAAUUUAGGCAGCAUCCUAUUCUCAUGAACAUUAGAAUCAUUACCAAGAAACGAAAGUACCUGGUAAUUUAGUUGGCGUGCACGAGCUCUAGUAAUUGGUCCAGUAUGUAUAGCAGCAGGGGCUGUGGGUGUAACAAUUGUAUUGAUGUCCUCAUCAGAAUUGAAGUUGAUAAAGCCAAGAUUGAAGCUAUUGAGAGUUGGCCGCAGCCCAAAACGGUCACACAAGUGAGGAGUUUGCUUGGCCUUGCUGGAUUCUAUAGGCGUUUUGUGAGAGAUUUCAGCACCAUUGCUGCACCUCUCAAUGAGCUUACAAAGAAAGAUGUGCCUUUUCUUUGGGGUACCGCACAGGAAGAAGCCUUCACGGUAUUGAAAGAUAAGUUGACACAUGCUCCUUUACUCCAACUUCCUGAUUUUAAUAAGACUUUUGAGUUUGAAUGUGAUGCUAGUGGAAUUGGAUUAGGAGGUGUGUUAUUACAAGAUGGCAAACCUGUUGCAUACUUUUCUGAAAAAUUGAGUGGGCCUAGUCUGAAUUAUUCUACUUAUGAUAAAGAAUUAUAUGCUCUUGUUCGGACUUUAGAAACAUGGCAACAUUAUUUAUGGCCCAAAGAAUUUGUUAUAUGAUAGAGGCAAAGGUGUCCCGUCUUUGGAUGAGAUGAUGGAUAUCGCUUUGGUGGAAGUCGACUUUGACGAUCCGACUACGAACGUGCGAGGACGUCGCGCCUUAGCAAUCGCUAAACCAACUCCGAGAGGUUAUUGACCACACCGGAGCACGAUCAACCUGACCACGAGGGUCUGUUUCCUGCGAGCAAACGAAGAACAAGCAAGAAGCUGAGAUUGCAAUCUGGAUAUUGCGAAUAUAAGAUGAAAGCUUUAUUGAUCAAGGUGGGGUUCUGUGACGCCUUUGUCUGGUCGUUGAACACAAACGAAGUACGCGAAGUUGCAGCUAUGGCGAACUUUUAAUCUAAACAAAACCCAAAGUCUAAAUGAUGCCCUAAGGGCUGUAUAUAUGGAGGAAGAGGGGGGGUAUUUCGUGGCCCUUGGUGGAGGGGUCCGAAAUCAACCCUAUCUCUUGUUUCCCCACACAUACGGACUCUAAAAAUAGCCUAUACUUAUGUAUUUCGAAAUUACAUGGGCCUGGCCCAAUAAUAAGGUGACGCAGCACCUAAAAUAGCCUCGGGACGAAAUUUAUGAAGUGGCAUCUUGUAUAUUUCGUCCAAGGCUUCAUGCACCCAUUAUGGUGGCUUCAAAGUCCUGAAAUCAUCACUUGUAACUCCGUUCUUGUUCCCCUUGCGCAUGCCAUCAUCUCCAUGCUUGUUCUUGCUCCAAUGUUCAUCCUUCUCCAAGCUAGGUCCUUCAUUUGUAAGCAAAACAAAUGUAUCCAAUUUAGGCAGCAUCAUAUUCUCAUGAACAUUAGAAUCAUUACCAAGAAACGAAAGUACGUGGUAAUUUAGUUGGCGUGCGCGAGCUCUAGUAAUUGGUCCAGUAUGUAUAGCAGCAGGGCCUGUGGGUGUAACAAUGGUAUUGAUGUCCUCAUCAUCCUCCCCUUUUUGAAAUGAAGUCGUCCUCGACGGAAACUCAUCUUCCUCACCCAAAUAAGGCUUCAAAUCUGCAAUGUUAAAAGUGGGACUAACCCCAAAAUCUGCAGGCAACUCAAGUUUAUAUGCAUUAUCAUUUAUUUUCUCUAACACCUUAAAGGGACCAUCAGCACGUGGCAUUAGCUUUGAUUUGCGCAAAUCAGGAAAUCUAUCCUUACGCAAAUGUAACCAAACAAGAUCUCCAGGUGCAAACACAACAUGUUUUCGGAUGAGGACAUCAAUACAAUUGUUACACCCACAGCCCCUGCUGCUAUACAUACUGGACCAAUUACUAGAGCUCGUGCACACCAACUAAAUUACCAGGUACUUUCGUUUCUUGGUAAUGAUUCUAAUGUUCAUGAGAAUAUGAUGCUGCCUAAAUUGGAUACAUUUGUUUUGCUUACAAAUGAAGGGCCUAGCUUGGAGAAGGAUGAACAUUGGAGCAAGAACAAGCAUGGAGAUGAUGGCAUGCGCAAGGGGAACAAGAAUGGAGUUACAAGUGAUGAUUUCAGGACUUUGAAGCCACCAUAAUGGGUGCAUGAAGCCUUGGACGAAACAUACAAGAUGCCACUUCAUAAAUUUCGUCCCGAGGCUAUUUUAGGUGCUGCAUCACCUUAUUAUUGGGCCAGGCCCAUGUAAUUUCUUAAUACAUAAGUAUAGGCUAUUUUUAGAGUCCGUAUGUGUGGGGAAACAAGAGAUAGGGUUGAUUUCGGACCCCUCCACCAAGGGCCACGAAAUUCCCCCUCUUCCUCCAUAUAUACAGCCCUUAGGGCAUCGUUUAGACUUUGGGUUUUGUUUAGAUUAAAAGUUCGCCAUAGCUGCAACUUCGCGUACUUCGUUUGUGUUUAACGACCAGACAAAGGCGUCACAGAACCCCACCUUGAUCAAUAAAGCUUUCAUCUUAUAUUCACAAUAUCCAGAUUGCAAUCUUAGUUUCUUGCUUGUUCUUCGUUUGCUCGCAGGAAACAGACCCUCGUGGUCAGGUUGAUCGUGCUCCGGCGUGGUCAAUAACCUCUCGGAGUUGGUUUAGCGAUUGCUAAGGCGCGACGUCCUCGCACGUUCGUAGUCGGAUUGUCAAAGUCGACUUCCACCAAAGCGAUAUCCAUCAUCAAAUCGAAAGACGGGACACCUUUGCCUCUAUCAAGUGGUAUCAGAUUUCCAGGUUGCUCGGUGAGAUUUUACAGUUUUUGUAGUUUAGAUCGAGUCUGUUCUUCAUACCUAUAGUCCACGAAAAAGCCACAAAAAAAUUAGGGUUAGUUCAUCAUAUCCGAACCAAUCUGAGCCUUUGCAUAAUCUUUUUAGGGUUUUGCUUUGUUGAAUUUGCGGUUGCAUCGUCGUGUCUAGUUGCUGGUCUUAGAGUCUAGUCUUUUAGAGUUUCGAGUUCUGGUCAUAAGUUGUCACGCCGCCGCCGCACCAUCAUCAUCACCCCUGCCAUCUACCACCACCGCUUAUCCGCCAACGCUACGAAUCCGUAUCCAUAUACCACCACCGCUGCCAUCUACCACCAUAUAUCCACCCCCAAUCCGAGUUCUUGUCAUAUUAGGUUUGUUUUCCAGAUCCAUCUAGAUUCCGUUUCGUGUUUCCUUGCCGGAGUAGGUUUCGGAAAAAAAAAAGAGUCCGGAAACCACGCUCCGUUUAGGCCCAAAAUUUUUCGAAAACACAUUUUUCGAAAAAAAUUCUGGCUAUCCUAUUUUUAGGUGUUUCUGAGUGUUUUGAGACAGGUGCCAUUAUAGGAAGUUUUUUUGACCCAUUUCCAGUUUUUGGGUCCGGGCAGUCAAAAAAAAAAUUGGUCGAAAAAAUUCCGUGCCCAUCCUGUCAGUUGGAGCUAGGAAGAGUUUUGAGACACUCGCCAUUAUAAUGAUUUUUCGCAAAAAAAAGAGCGAAUAUUUUUUUCCAGAGUGUGCUUUUCCCUUGUUUACGUGCCGCGCCGUGAUUUUGUUGGUGUUCUAGGCUCGCGUCUCUAGCACAGUCUAGCCUAGGACCAGCACAGUACCGUCGUUGAGCGUUUAUUCAACUUUGCAUCUCUGAAUUGAUUAUUGCUGACCCUUUUUGCUACCAUAUUAUAAGCCUUCCCAGCUCCACAUACAUCUACGUCGUGCGUUUGACUCUCCCUGGUAAUCGCUCUAUCCAAGCUUUGAGAGUUUUUGACUACAACGGUUGCCGAUCACCGCCUGCUGCUGGGUAAGAACUGGUAAGAAUUUGAGAUUUGCUUGACAGAUUUGUGACACCCACCACCACCUCUUGUUAGUAGUCUGUAGGAUCAUAUUCUUGUGUGUUUCUAUUGCUGCUAACCAUGCCAGGAUCACAAGCCGACGAGACUGACUGGGAGAACAUGACGAAUAAGGAUUUGCAUGAUAAAUUUCAGCAAAUGAUGAGUGAACAGGUGCAAGACGUGCUAAACAGAUUUGAAGAGGCCAUGGAGAAGAUAGAUGGCAUGGAGAAGACGUUCGAAACAAAGCUCGAUAACAAGUUUAAUGAAUUGCUCGCGCGUCUUCCACCACCACCACCCGCUGCACCUAUCGCACCUCUCCAACAACAACAACAACGACUACCUCCACGUCGCGAAAUAGACCUCCGCCGAGCAAGCCGUGUUCCUCUUGCGUUUGGCCAAACUGUUGGUGCUGCUAUUGAUACUUCUGUGGCUUCUGCUGCUGAUGCGGAGGAGGAUGAUUAUGUGGGAGAUUACGAGGAUGAGGUUGCUCAAAAUCAGAACUACGUGCAACCACCAGCACCACCACCAGCAGGUCGACCUCAGGUAUAUAUUCGUAAUGGUAGGCCUGCACCACCACCUCAGGUACGAGAUGAUGUCCAUAUUCCUAAACUGAAAUUGAAUAUUCCACCAUUUGAGGGUAGAUAUGUUCCUGAUAUAUAUCUUACUUGGGAGUUAGAAACUGAACAACGUUUUACAUGUUUACAAUAUCCCGAGGAGAGACGGGUUGCUGCUGCUGUUUGUGCUUUCACUAGUUUUGCAUGUGUCUGGUGGUCUGAACAUUGUAGAUUAUAUCCUAUUCCAACUACUUGGGCUGCUUUGAAAACUGCUAUGCGUACGCGUUGGGUUCCACCAUAUUAUCAACGUGAAUUGCUUCAAAAAUUGCAGCGUUUAAGACAAGGAAAAAUUUUUGUAGAAGAAUAUUAUCAGGAAUUACAAACUGGCAUGAUUCGAUGUGGUAUUGUUGAGGAGAAUGAAGCUAUGCUUGCACGUUUUCUGGGUGGAUUAAAUAGAGAGAUUCAGACCAUUCUAGACUAUAAGGAGUAUACUAAUAUCACUCGUUUAUUCCAUCUUGCUUGUAAAGCUGAACGUGAAGUGCAGGAUCGACAAGCAUUGGCGCGAACUAACUUUUCUGCAGGCCGACCUUCAUCAUGGACACCGCGUGCAUCUUCUACUUCAACUGCACCAGCACCUCAAUCAGGUGCCUCCUACAGCCGUGAUACAAGAAAACAGGAACAACCACCAUUAUCUGCCAAGAGCGCACCUGCCGGGCCUGCAUAGAGUUCUUCUUCUUCCAGGGCAUCAACAGGGCACACAAGUGAUAUUAUUUGUCGUCGUUGUAAGGGAGGAGGUCAUUAUGCGAGAGAAUAAAAAUCUCCGCAUGUGAUGAUUGCUACCGAGGGUGGUGGAUAUGAGUCCGCUAGUGACUAUGAUGAGGAGACAUUGGCUCUUAUUACACGUGAAGAACAUGGUGGAGAUGAUUCUGAUCAUGAGACGCAAUACAUGGCUCCUGAAGACGCUGACAGGUAUGAAUGUUUAGUUGCUCAACGUGUUUUGAGUGUGCAGGUCACACAAGCUGAGCAAAAUCAGAGGCACAAUUUGUUCCAUACCAAGGGAGUUGUGAAGGAACGUUCUAUGCGCUUCAUCAUAGACGGAGGGAGCUGCAACAACUUGGCUAGCAUGGAGAUGGUGGAGAAGCUUUCUCUCACCACAAGACCACAUCCACAUCCUUACUACAUCCAAUGGUUCAACAACAACGGCAAGGUUAAGGUAACACGUACUGUUCGUGUGCAUUUUAGUAUCUCUACAUAUGCUGAUUAUGUUGAUUGUGAUGUGGUACCUAUGCAAGCACGUUCCUUAUUACUUGGUAGACCAUGGCGAUUUGAUAAAAAUUCUGUACACCAUGGUAGAAACAAUCACUAUACUCUUGUUCAUAAGGAUAAAAAUAUUACUUUGCUUCCUAUGACUCCUGAUUCCAUUUUGAAAGAUGAUAUUAAUAGAGCUAAUAAAGCAAAACAGGAGAAGAAUAAGAGUGAAAAUCAGAUUGUGGCAAAAGAAUUUGAGCAACAAAUGAAGCCUAAUAAUAAACCAUCUAGUGUUGCUUCUGAAAUUAAAUUGAAAAGUGCAUGUUUAUUUGCCACCAAAUCUGAUAUUGAUGAGCUAGAUUUCAGCAAAUCUGUUUGCUAUGCUUUUGUGUGCAAAGAGGCAUUAUUUUCAUUCGAGGACGUGCCUUCCUCUUUGCCUCCUGCUGUCACUAACAUUUUGCAGGAGUUCGCUGACGUUUUUCCACAAGACGUGCCACCGGGAUUACCGCCUAUUCGAGGGAUUGAGCAUCAGAUUGACUUAAUUCCCGGUGCUUCACUGCCAAACCAUGCACCAUACCGUACCAAUCCAGAGGAGACGAAGGAGAUUAUGCAUCAAGUACAAGAGCUUCUCGACAAAGGUUAUAUACGUGAAUCCCUUAGUCCUUGUGCUGUUCCUAUUAUUCUAGUGCCGAAAAAAGAUGGUACAUCACGUAUGUGUGUUGAUUGUAGAGGCAUUAAUAAUAUUUUUAUUCGUUAUCGUGAGCCUAUUCCUAGGCUAGAUGAUAUGCUUGAUGAAUUGAGUGGCUCUACAAUAUUCUCCAAAGUUGAUUUGCGUAGUGGCUACCAUCAAAUUCGUAUGAAAUUGGGAGAUGAAUGGAAAACAGCAUUUAAAACUAAGUUUGGAUUAUAUGAGUGGUUAGUCAUGCCUUUUGGGUUAACUAAUGCACCUAGUACUUUCAUGAGAUUAAUGAACGAAGUUUUACGUGCUUUCAUUGGACGAUUUGUGGUAGUUUACUUUGAUGACAUAUUGAUUUAUAGCAGAUCUUUGGAAGAACAUGUCAAAAAGCUUGACUUUUAAUAUGUUUCAAAGAUUCAUGAUCAGAAUGUAUAACAAAUUCUUUGGGCCUUAAAUAAUGUUGCCAUGUUUCUAAAGUCCGAACAAGAGCAUAUAAUUCUUUAUCAUAAGUAGAAUAAUUCAGACUAGGCCCACUCAAUUUUUCAGAAAAGUAUGCAACAGGUUUGCCAUCUAGUAAUAACACACCUCCUAAUCCAAUUCCACUAGCAUCACAUUCAAGCUCAAAAGUCUUAUUAAAAUCAGGAAGUUGGAGUAAAGGAGCAUGUGUCAACUUAUCUUUCAAUACCAUGAAGGCUUCUUCCUGUGCGGUACCCCAAAGAAAAGGCACAUCUUUCUUUGUAAGCUCAUUGAGAGGUGCAGCAAUGGUGCUGAAAUCUCUCACAAAACGCCUAUAGAAUCCAGCAAGGCCAAGAAAACUCCUCACUUGUGUGACCGUUUUGGGCUGCGGCCAACUCUCAAUAGCUUCAAUCUUGGCUUUAUCAACUUCAAUUCCCUGUGGAGUAACAACAUAGCCAAGAAAAGAUACUCGGUCGGUGCAAAAGGUGCACUUCCCAAGGUUACCAAACAAAUGUGCAUCACGUAGAGCAAUAAAAACAGCACGUAAAUUGAUAGAGGCAAAGGUGUCCCGUCUUUCGAUGAGAUGAUGGAUAUCGCUUUGGUGGAAGUCGACUUUGACGAUCCGACUACGAACGUGCGAGGACGUCGCGCCUUAGCAAUCGCUAAACCAACUCCGAGAGGUUAUUGACCACGCCGGAGCACGAUCAACCUGACCACGAGGGUCUGUUUCCUGCGAGCAAACGAAGAACAAGCAAGAAACUAAGAUUGCAAUCUGGAUAUUGCGAAUAUAAGAUGAAAGCUUUAUUGAUCAAGGUGGGGUUCUGUGACGCCUUUGUCUGGUCGUUGAACACAAACGAAGUACGCGAAGUUGCAGCUAUGGCGAACUUUUAAUCUAAACAAAACCCAAAGUCUAAACGAUGCCCUAAGGGCUGUUUAUAUGGAGGAAGAGGGGGGAAUUUCGUGGCCCUUGGUGGAGGGGUCCGAAAUCAACCCUAUCUCUUGUUUCCCCACACAUACGGACUCUAAAAAUAGCCUAUACUUAUGUAUUUCGAAAUUACAUGGGCCUGGCCCAAUAAUAAGGUGACGCAGCACCUAAAAUAGCCUCGGGACGAAAUUUAUGAAGUGGCAUCUUGUAUAUUUGGUCCAAGGCUUCAUGCACCCAUUAUGGUGGCUUCAAAGUCCUGAAAUCAUCACUUGUAACUCCGUUCUUGUUCCCCUUGCGCAUGCCAUCAUCUCCAUGCUUGUUCUUGCUCCAAUGUUCAUCCUUCUCCAAGCUAGGCCCUUCAUUUGUAAGCAAAACAAAUGUAUCCAAUUUAGGCAGCAUCAUAUUCUCAUGAACAUUAGAAUCAUUACCAAGAAACGAAAGUACCUGGUAAUUUAGUUGGCGUGCACGAGCUCUAGUAAUUGGUCCAGUAUGUAUAGCAGCAGGGGCUGUGGGUGUAACAAUUGUAUUGAUGUCCUCAUCAUCCUCCCCUUCUUGAAAUGAAGUCGUCCUCGACGGAAGUUCAUCUUCCUCACCCAAAUAAGGCUUCAAAUCUGCAAUGUUAAAAGUGGGACUAACCCCAAAAUCUACAGGCAGCUCAAGUUUAUAUGCAUUAUCAUUUAUUUUCUCUAACACCUUAAAGGGACCAUCAGCACGUGGCAUUAACUUUGAUUUGCGCAAAUCAGGAAAUCUAUCCUUACGCAAAUGUAACCAAACAAGAUCUCCAGGUGCAAAAACAACAUGUUUUCUACCCUUAUCUCCAGCAAGUUUAUAUUUAGCAUUCAUACGCUCAAUGUUUUCCUUAGUUAACUCAUGCAUUUUUAAAAUCAAUUCAGCAUGUUGUUUAGCAUCAAAAUUAACCUUCUCCGAAGAUGGAAGAGGCAACAAAUCAAUAGGUGCACGAGGUAGGAAACCAUACACAACUUCAAAAGGGCACAUCUUAGUAGUAGAAUGCAAUGAACAAUUAUAAGCAAAUUCAAUAUGAGGCAAGCAUUCCUCCCACAUUUUCUUAUUAUUCUUCAAAACAGCCCUAAGCAUAGUAGACAACGUUCUAUUGACUACUUCAGUUUGUCCAUCAGUUUGGGGGUGACAAGUAGUACUAAAAAGGAGUUUAGUCCCCAACUUAGCCCAUAAACAUCUCCAAAAGUGGCUAAGAAAUUUAGUAUCACGAUCUGAAACAAUAGUAUUUGGCACACCAUGCAAGCGAAUAAUUUCACGAAAGAACAAAUCAGCAACAUUAACAGCAUCAUCGCUUUUAUGACAUGGUAUAAAGUGUGCCAUUUUCGAGAAUCUAUCCACGACAACAAAUAUGCUAUCCCUCCCCUUCUUUGUUCGAGGUAAACCUAAAACAAAGUCCAUAGAUAUAUCCUCCCAAGGAACACUAGGUACAGGCAAAGGCAUAUAUAAACCAUGAGGAUUGAGUCGUGACUUAGCUUUUUGACAUGUAGUGCAUCGAGCAAUAAAAUGCUCAACAUCCUGUCUCAUCUUUGGCCAAAAGAAAUGUAUAGCAAGUACGUCCUCCGUCUUUUUCACGCCAAAGUGUCCCAUUAAUCAUCCUCCAUGCGCCUCCUGCAACAACAAAAGACAAACGGAGCUAGCUGGAAUGCAUAGCUUGUUAGCACGAAACACAAAUCCAUCGUUAAUGACAAACUUGUUCCACAUUCUACCUUCUUUACAAUUCUGCAUUACAUCUUUAAAAUCAGCAUCAUGCACAUAUUGAUCUUUGAUGGUCUCCAAACCAAAUAUUUUGAAGUCAAGUUGUGAAAGCAUAGUAUAGAGACGAGACAAUGCAUCAGCAAUAACAUUUUCUUUUCCCUUUUUGUGUUUAAUGACAUAAGGGAAAGUCUCAAUGAAUUCGACCCAUUUAGCAUGUCUACGAUUCAGUUUAGCUUGACUUUUAAUAUGUUUCAAAGAUUCAUGAUCAGAAUGUAUAACAAAUUCUUUGGGCCAUAAAUAAUGUUGCCAUGUUUCUAAAGUCCGAACAAGAGCCUAUAAUUCUUUAUCAUAAGUAGAAUAAUUCAGACUAGGCCCACUCAAUUUUUCAGAAAAGUAUGCAACAGGUUUGCCAUCUUGUAAUAACACACCUCCUAAUCCAAUUCCACUAGCAUCACAUUCAAGCUCAAAAGUCUUAUUAAAAUCAGGAAGUUGGAGUAAAGGAGCAUGUGUCAACUUAUCUUUCAAUACCGAGAAGGCUUCUACCUGUGCGGUACCCCAAAGAAAAGACACAUCUUUCUUUGUAAGCUCAUUGAGAGGUGCAGCAAUGGUGCUGAAAUCUCUCACAAAACACCUAUAGAAUCCAGCGAGGCCAAGAAAACUCCUCACUUGUGUGACCGUUUUGGGCUGCGGCCAACUCUCAAUAGCUUCAAUCUUGGCUUUAUCAACUUCAAUUCCCUGUGGAGUAACAACAUAGCCAAGAAAAAAUACUCGGUCGGUGCAAAAGGUGCACUUCCCAAGGUUACCAAACAAACGUGCAUCACGUAGAGCAAUAAAAACAGCACGUAAAUGUUCCAAAUGUUCUUCCAAAGAUCUGCUAUAAAUCAAUAUGUCAUCAAAGUAAACUACCACAAAUCGUCCAAUGAAAGCACGUAAAACUUCGUUCAUUAAUCUCAUGAAAGUACUAGGUGCAUUAGUUAACCCAAAAGGCAUGACUAACCACUCAUAUAAUCCAAACUUAGUUUUAAAUGCUGUUUUCCAUUCAUCUCCCAAUUUCAUACGAACUUGAUGGUAUCCACUACGCAAAUCAACUUUGGAGAAUAUUGUAGAGCCACUCAAUUCAUCAAGCAUAUCAUCUAGCCUAGGAAUAGGAUGACGAUAACGAAUAGUAAUAUUAUUAAUGCCUCUACAAUCAACACACAUACGUGAUGUACCAUCCUUUUUCGGCACUAGAAUAAUAGGAACGGCACAAGGACUAAGGAAUUCGCGUAUAUAACCUUUGUCGAGAAGUUCUUGUACUUGACGCAUAAUCUCCUUCGUCUCCUCUGGAUUGGUACGGUAUGGUGCACGGUUUGGCAGUGAAGCACCGGGAAUUAAGUCAAUCUGAUGCUCAAUCCCUCGAAUAGGCGGUAAUCCCGGUGGCACGUCUUCUGGAAAGACGUCAGCGAACUCCUGCAAAAUGUUAGUGACAGCAGGAGGCAAAGAGGAAGGCAUGUCCUCGAAUGAAAAUAAUGCCUCUUUGCACACAAAAGCAUAGUAAACAGAUUUGCUGAAAUCUAGCUCAUCAAUAUCAGAUUUGGUGGCAAAUAAACAUGCACUUUUCAAUUUAAUUUUAGAAGCAACACUAGAUGGUUUAUUAUUAGGCUUCAUUUGUUGCUCAAAUUCUUUUGCCACAAUCUGAUUUUCACUCUUAUUCUUCUCCUGUUUUGCUUUAUUAGCUCUAUUAAUAUCAUCUUUCAAAAUGGAAUCAGGAGUCAUAGGAAGCAAAGUAAUAUUUUUAUCCUUAUGAACAAGAGUAUAGUGAUUGUUUAUACCAUGGUGUACAGAAUUUUUAUCAAAUUGCCAUGGUCUACCAAGUAAUAAGGAACAUGCUUGCAUAGGUACCACAUCACAAUCAACAUAAUCAGCAUAUGUAGAGAUACUAAAAUGCACACGAACAGUACACGUUACCUUAACCUUGCCGCUAUUGUUGAACCAUUGGAUGUAGUAAGGAUGUGGAUGUGGUCUUGUGGUGAGAGAAAGCUUCUCCACCAUCUCCAUGCUAGCCAAGUUGUUGCAGCUCCCUCCGUCUAUGAUGACGCGCAUAGAACGUUCCUUCACAACUCCCUUGGUAUGGAACAAAUUGUGCCUCUGAUUUUGCUCAGCUUGUGUGACCUGCACACUCAAAACACGUUGAGCAACUAUACAUUCAUACCUGUCAGCGUCUUCAGGAGCCAUGUAUUGCGUCUCAUGAUCAGAAUCAUCUCCACCAUGUUCUUCACGUGUAAUAAGAGCCAAAGUCUCCUCAUCAUAGUCACUAACGGACUCAUAUCCACCAUCCGCGGUAGGAAUCAUCACACGCGGAGAUUUGCAUUCUCUCGCAUAAUGACCUCCUCCCUUACAACGACGACAAAUAAUAUCACUUUUAUGCCCUGUUGAUGCUAUGGAAGAAGAAGAACGCUGUGCAGGCCCCGCAGGUGCGCUCUCGGCAGAUACUGGUGGUUGUGCCUGUUUUCUUGUAUCACGGCUGGAGGUGGCACCUGAUGGAGGUGCUGGUGCAGUUGAAGUAGAAGAUGCACGUGGUGUCCAUGAUGAAGGUCGGCCUGCAGAAAAGUUAGUUCGCGCCAAUGCUUGUCGAUCCUGCACUUCACGUUCAGCUUUACAAGCAAGAUGGAAUAAACGAGUGAUAUUAGUAUACUCCUUAUAGUCUAGAAUGGUCUGAAUCUCUCUAUUUAAUCCACCCAGAAAACUUGCAAGCAUAGCUUCAUUCUCCUCAACAAUACCACAUCUAAUCAUGCCAGUUUGUAAUUCCUGAUAAUAUUCUUCUACAGAAUUUUUUCCUUGUCUUAAGCGCUGUAAUUUUUGAAGCAAUUCACGUUGAUAAUAUGGUGGAACCCAACAAGUACGCAUAGCAGUUUUCAAAGCAACCCAAGUAGUUGGAAUAGGAUAUAAUAUACAAUGUUCAGACCACCAUACACAUGCAAAACUAGUGAAAGCACAAACAGCAGCGGCAACCCGUCUCUCCUCGGGAUAUUGUAAACAUGUAAAUCGUUGUUCAGUUUCUAACUCCCAAGUAAGAUAUAUAUCAGGAACAUAUCUACCCUCGAAAGGUGGAAUGUUCAAUUUCAGUUUAGGAAGAUGGUCAUGAUCUCGUACCUGAGGGAAAGCCCUACCAUUGUGAUUAUUUGCAUGUGGAUGACCUGGUGGUUGUGGUGCAGGUGGUUGCACAUAGUUCUGAUUUUGAGCAACCUCAUCCUCGUAAUCUCCCACAUAAUCAUCCUCCUCCGCAUCAGCAGCAGGAGCCACAGAAGUAUCAAGAGUAGCACCAACAGUUUGGCCAAACGCAAGAGGAACACGGCUCGCUCGGCGGAGGUCUGUUUUGCGACGUGGAGGUAGUCGUUGUUGUUGUUGUUGGAGAGGUGUGUUAGGUGCAGCGGGUGGUGGUGGUGGAAGACGCGCGAGCAAUUCAUUAAACUUGUUAUCGAGCUUUGUUUCGAACGUCUUCUCCAUGCCAUCUAUCUUCUCCAUGGCCUCUUCAAAUCUGUUUAGCACAUCUUGCACCUGUCCACUCAUCAUUUGCUGAAAUUUAUCAUGCAAAUCCUUAUUCGUCAUGUUCUCCCAGUCAGUCUCGUCGGCUUGUGAUCCUGGCAUGGUUAGCAGCAAUAGAAACACACAAUAAUAUGAUCCUACAGACUACUAACAAGAGGUGGUGGUGGGUGUGACAAAUCCGUCAAGCAAAUCUCAAAUUCUUACCAGUUCUUACCCAGCAGCAGGCGGUGAUCGGCAACCGUUGUAGUCAAAAACUCUCAAAGCUUGGAUAGAGCGAUUACCAGGGAGAGUCAACCGCACGACGUAGAUGUAUGUGGAGCUGGGAAGGCUUAUAAUAUGGUAGCAAAAGGGGUCAGCAAUAAUCAAUUCAGAGAUGCAAAGUUGAAUAAACGCUCAACGACGGUACUGUGCUGGUCCUAGGCUAGACUGUGCUAGAGACGCGAGCCUAGAACACCAACAAAAUCACGGCGCGGCACGUAAACAAGGGAAAAGCACACUCUGGAAUUUUUUGUUUCGCUUUUUUUUUUCUUUUGCGCUGCUUUUUUUUUUGCGAAAAAUCACUAUAAUGGCGAGUGUCUCAAAACUCUUCCUAGCUCAAAUUGACAGGAUGGGCACGAAAUUUUUUCGACCAAUUUUUUUUUCGACUGCCCGGACCCAAAAACUGGAAACGGGUCAAAAAAACUUCCUAUAAUGGCACCUGUCUCAAAACACUCAGAAACACCUAAAAAUAGGAUAGCCAAAUUUUUUUUCGAAAAAUGCGUUGUCGAAAAUUUUUGGGCCUAAACGGAGCGUGGUUUCCGGACUCGUUUUUUUUUUCGAUACCUACUCCGGCAAGGAAACACGAAUCGGAAUCUAGAUGGAUCUCGAAAACAAACCUAAUAUGACAAGAACUGGGAUUGGUGGUGGAUAUAUGUUGGUAGAUGGCAGCGGUGGUGGUAUAUGGAUACGGAUUCGAAGCGGUGGCGGAUAAGCGGUGGUGGUAGAUGGCAGGGGCGAUGAUGAUGGUGCGGCGGCGGCGUGACAACUUAUGACCAGAACUCGAAACUCUAAAAGACUAGACUCUAAGACCAGCAACUAGACACGACGAUGCAACCGCAAAUUCAACAUAGCAAAACCCUAAAAAGAUUAUGCAAAGGCUCAGAUUGGUUCGGAUAUGAUGAACUAACCCUAAUUUUUUUUGUGGCUUUUUCGUGGACUAUAGGUAUGAAGAACAGACUCGAUCUAAACUACGAAAAACUGUAAAAUCUCACCGAACAACCUGGAAAUCUGAUACCACUUGAUAGAGGCAAAGGUGUCCCGUCUUUCGAUGAGAUGAUGGAUAUCGCUUUGGUGGAAGUCGACUUUGACGAUCCGACUACGAACGUGCGAGGACGUCGCGCCUUAGCAAUCGCUAAACCAACUCCGAGAGGUUAUUGACCACGCCGGAGCACGAUCAACCUGACCACGAGGGUCUGUUUCCUGCGAGCAAACGAAGAACAAGCAAGAAACUAAGAUUGCAAUCUGGAUAUUGCGAAUAUAAGAUGAAAGCUUUAUUGAUCAAGGUGGGGUUCUGUGACGCCUUUGUCUGGUCGUUGAACACAAACGAAGUACGCCAAGUUGCAGCUAUGGCAAACUUUAAUCUAAACAAAACCCAAAGUCUAAACGGUGCCCUAAGGGCUGUAUAUAUGGAGGAAGAGAGGGGGAAUUUCGUGGCCCUUGGUGGAGGGGUCCGAAACCAACCCUAUCUCUGGUUUCCCCACACAUACGGACUCUAAAAAUAGCCUAUACUUAUGUAUUUCGAAAUUACAUGGGCCUGGCCCAAUAAAAAGGUGACGCAGCACCUAUAAUAGCCUCGGGACGAAAUUUAUGAAGUGGCAUCUUGUAUAUUUCGUCCAAGGCUUCAUGCACCCAUUAUGGUGGCUUCAAAGUCCUAAAAUCAUCACUUGUAACUCCGUUCUUGUUCCCCUUGCGCAUAGCAUCAUCUCCAUGCUUGUUCUUGCUCCAACGUUCAUCCUUCUCCAAGCUAGGCCCUUCAUUUGUAAGCAAAACAAAUGUAUCCAAUUUAGGCAGCAUCAUAUUCUCAUGAACAUUAGAAUCAUUACCAAGAAACGAAAGUACCUGAUAAUUUAAUUGGCGUGCGCGAGCUCUAGUAAUUGGUCCCGUAUAUGUAGCAGUAGGGGCUAUGGGUGUAACAAUGGUAUUGAUGUCCUCAUCAAUAUUGAACUUGCUUCGGCAACUAUUUACAUGCGGCUCGUCGCUAGCUUUUUUUUGAGUACUCGUGGAGCCAAAACGGACUUCGUAUGAGGAAGUUAUGCCUGUUUUACUGAACAGUGCACAAAAUAGAUUCCAAUCCGAAUUCAACUACGAGAUUGAGUCUAGAUAGAUACGAAUUUUGUUUUUUUUAUUCUCUUUUUUUCCUCACAUUUUUUCUUUUUCUUUUUCUUUUUUUCUCUGACUUUUUUUCUGUUGUUUUUUCUCUUUUUUUCUCUCCCACUUUCCAAAACAAACUAGAUAAGAUGCAUAUUGGAUCAAGCGAAGAUGUGAACGAUCUCAACUAUUAUUAUGACAAUGAACGGUGGGUAGCACGUGGUGGAAAUUGAUGGAUGGGUGGUGGACAACGAAAGGGAUAACGAUGCAGCGGCGGCGUGACUAAUGUGAACAGAACUCGAAACUCUAAACGAACUAGACACUAAGACUAGCAACUCGACACGACGUUGCAACCGAUAUUCAACUAUGCAAGCAAUGAAAAGAAAAUUGCAAAGGCUCAGAGUGGCUUGGACAAAGGAUGAAUAGAUCUAACUUUUUUUGUGGAUUUUUCUUGGACAAUAGGUAAGAAAAUAAAUCUAAUCUAGGAAAAACAGGAAAUUCUCACCGAGCAACCUGAAAACUGAUACCACUUGAUAGAGGCGAAGGUGUCCCGAUGUUUCGAUGAGAUAGAUAUCGUUUUCUGUGGGAGUCGACUUUGACGAUCCGACUACGAACGUGCGAGGACGUCGCACCUUAGCAAUCGCUAAACCAACUUCAGAGGGUUAUUAAUCACGCCGUAGCACGAUCAACCUGACCACGAGGGUCUAUUUCUUGCGAGCAAACAAAGAACAAGCAAGAAACUGACAUUGCAAUCUGGAUAUUGCGAAUUAAAGAGGAAAGCUUUAUUAAUGAAGGUGGGGUUCGGUGACGUCUUGGUCUGGUCGUUGGAUACAAAGGAAGUACGCGAAGUUGCAGCUAUGGCGAACUUUUAAUCUAAACAAAACCCAAGGAAAAAGCUACUAGAUGGAUCUACUUAUAUAGGAGCAAGGGGUGGCGGCCAAGGAGGUGGAAGGAUGUCCCAAGGCAGCCUAAAACUAACCCUAGGUCGUACAAGGCUCAUGGGCCCAAGUGGAGGUGGUGCAACACCUUUAGACUUAUUGUUUGACUCGGAUUGUACAAAUGUCCCAUACACCUGCAAUUGGACAAAACACAAAAGUGUGUGAAGUAUUUUUGUUCUGGAUAACAUAAAUAGAUUAUUGAAUAGUUUGCACUUGAAAUCAGCUGACAAAUAUGCAUGUAUGAAAUAUUUUUGGUCGUCUCCAAGGUAGUCAUGUCCUCAUCAACGUUAAGAUUUAUUUUUGCACUAAAAUCUUAUACACUAGUUGAACUGAAGACUAUUUUCAAUGCAUUGUGAGUUGUUGCUCAAAAGUGAGACUGAUUUUAUUUUCAUCUACCCCAACCUAAGUUAGGACUUUAUAGUUUUUGUACCCUCUUUUUAGCGUACUUAUGGUUUAGUGUUGUGGGUACUGAAUUGUAAUUUCAUACAGUGUUAGGUUUUGAAAAUUGGUGUCAUAGUGGUAUGUGGAUGUAGUGUGAGUGGCCUGACCCUUCCUGGUUUUGUAGUACUGUUAUGAGAUAUAUGUUUGAAAUAAAGGUUUUUUGGGAUUGAGAUUAUUUACGACGAAAUUGUUAGUUGACCUGUAGCCAGAUUUUAUGUAAAUAAAAAAUUUAGCAAAUUUGACAAAAAAAAUAUUUCUUUGAACUUCUUGCAUUUUAGUAGUUGAACUUGAAAGUAAAAUUUAAUUACCUGAUUUAAAUUAUGUACAUUUAACAGAUAGCCUAUUUAAGUUCUCCGCUUUUAAAGUAUCAUUGUUUUUGUAUCAUUAUUUUUUUCCUUUUUUAUCCGUGGUGUGGAGCUAAAUUUAUUUUAUUUUAUAUUUUUGAAUUUAAAAUUAUUGCCCACGAAUAACUAUUUGAACUUUUCUAUAUUCAGUUUUUGAACUUUUUUGUUGUAGUUUAUAAAUUUUUGCCCCACGCUCUGCUGUAUUCAAUGGGCCUUAUGAGUGGGGUGAGGACAGUUUGGAGACGAGGGAGGCUUCCAAGGAGCAGUCGUAUUGGGUGCUUUUCUGGCCCAAAUGGCCCCCGCGCGCGACUAUGGACUGCUGGUUGCGCGUGCGCUCUGAGUUUAGUCCCACCUCGCUAGCCGAGGGGGCUCUCAACCGGUUUAUAAGCAUUGCCAUGGCUCAUGUGUCGAACUCCUCUUAAUACUUACCUGGCAGCUUAUACACGGCGCUCGCUCUCUGUUCCAUGACCUGUGGGCCAUGGUCUGCUGACCUUGCUUUGUGUCGAUUACUAGGGAUUCGUCAACGGUUCCGCCGUGGGCUCGAGUUCAAGUGUCCACCUGCGUUAGGGCCUGCCUGUCCUCGGGCACUCAAUAUUUUUGGUUUGAAUCUAGUACUUGACUGCACUAGUAAUGCGGACUGUGAUUUGAAUCUAGUACUUGACUGCACCAGUAAUGCAGACUGAUACUUUUGUUGUAGUUCUUGUGAGUUUUCUUGGGUUUAUGUAAGAAUUAUUUUAUUAUUACUGAUUGUUCUCCUUGGCUUGAACUAUUAUGUUUUCGUUGAGUUUUUGCAUUCUUUUUUUUGUUUUUUGUCGUGAUUAUUCUCAAGGGUUUUCUGGUAUUAUUUAGUAAUAUAGUACUUGCAUGGGAAUUAAGUUCUACUGAGAGUUCAAUUGUACUAGCACUUCUGUUCUUAGUCUGACAGUUAUUAAGGGAAUGUGAACUGGUGCUUCUUUGUCCUUUUUAUAGUAGUAAAGAUGUACUGCGCAUUCAAGUGUACUAGUACUGUCAUUCUUAGUCUUCCAAUGUCCAAUAAAAUGUGUACUGAUGCUUUUUAACUUUUUUCUUUCACUACUUGCUAAUUUUCUAGCAACUACAAGGAUGAUCUUGUUAGUACUGAAUGUUGUCCUCGCCUGUCCCUUAGUCUUUUUAGUGUGAUGGAACCUUUUUUGUUGUGAUUAUUUUUUAGUGUUCUUAUGAAACUAUUUAGUAUGAUAGUACUACUAUACAAGACUAAGCUGUAUCAAGCGUCCAAGGGGAGUAUUGUUCUUGUUCGUAGUAUGUCGGUGUUUGUGAAAUAUCUGCUGCCAGUACAACACUAUGUUAGUGAUGUCAUUGUUCACAGUUGCAGGAUGGGAGUGGUGUUGGGGCUUGUUUUGUUCAUAUAGACUCGGAUCAUAUGGACGAAGUACUAAGAUUUUUUGUUUCAACUUUGGAAGCGUUGUUAAAUAGCUCAAAUUGUACUGAUUGUUUUCAACAUUUUCUUUUCCAUACAAUGUUGAAUCCGAACUACACGUGGAACAUCCUUGUGUGAUUAGUUCCUCGAUAACUAGUACUGAAGAGUAGCCACAGAGUUCCAUUCACAAGCUACUUGAAUUUAAAAUGAUGGAUAAACAAAAUGGGAAGCUAGCAAACUUAUUUAACGAUAUAAUCAAAGGAUGUACUUGAUGACAUAAGCAAACUGGUUCAACCCUGACAAACACGACAUAAGCAAACUGGUUCAACCCUGACACACAUGACUUCAGCAAGCUGGUUUAACGUAACAAAAGCAAACUACGAAUUUGGAACAACAAGAUAAAGGACAAGCGCAAGCAACACGAAGGCAGCCUUUGAUGUCUCUUCAUCCCGCAUAGUGGCAGUGGUAGUACGGGUCCGCUUCCUGCUCUUUUGAAAUUUCAGGACCUAUUUUGAUGUUGUCGAUUUUCUUCCAUGGCUCAUAGGUGGCGUACACAUCUAUUGUUGUGUACUCUAUGAGGUAAUUUGGUAGUGGGUUCAUCCCCCACAAUGUAUGGUCUUCCUUCAUAUUGAUCUUCUUCUUCUACCAUACUCUUUUCUGGUGUAUGGAACUCUCCAGUUGCGCCGAAUGUCGAUGUACUUGUUGGGAUUUAUCUCCAAACCAGACAUCUUUAGCUUCUCUCUGUCACCUUGAAUGCUGAAACCGGCAAAGGUGAACAACUUCUCAUGCUUCAACAUGUCGUAGAGGUGCUUGGGCAUGCAAGGGGAGAGACAUAUUAAAUAUUAGUAUUAUUUUGAUGUUUGAAUUCUUCCGGUUUUUGGUUUACAAGUGAUGAAUCCAUGAAGUAGAUGCUUAUAUAGUAUAAUUAAUGGAUGAAUGUAGUCCAGAAACUAGUACACAAAUUUCAGAAAUUAAAUUCACGUACAAGAUGUUAUUUUUCUUUUUGGAAUAUACAGUUGAGUCAAUGAUAUAUGUGCUGCUUUAGUACUAGUUUAGUUUACUUUUGUUGAAUAGAAAAACAUAUAUCAGUGCUUCACCAAGUUCUUUGUUCUUUUGUUGAUGAAAAUAAUACCAUACCAAGUUUAGAAACUACUUCACUACAUCAAGUUCAGAAACAUCUUUUAAUACAUCGAGUGCAGAAACUACACUAGUGAAUCAAGAUCAGAAAGUACACUAGUACAUCAAGUUCAGAAAUUAAUCUACUGCAAGAUUUUCAAAUAGUAAUCCAGUGCAUCAGGUUCAAAAUAUAUUCUAGUGCAUCUACUCGAGAAACUGUACUAGUGCAUACACUUCCACAAACUACACUAGUACAUCUAGCUGGGAAACAAGUUUAAUGAGAUUUUGAUGAUACAGUACUAAUUAAACAGAUGAACAAAAGAGGGCAAAUGAGUAGGAUGGUUCACCAUUUUGUGGCCACGGUGAUGUGGUACACCAGACAGAGUUCCUCCAUCCGUAACUGCAGAACUACUGCUCUCUGCGGAGGUUCAUCUUGCCUGGUAUACUCCACAUCAACGCCGAUGAAUCUAGGAUACAAGCUGCCAGCCCUUUUCCAGAGUCUACAGAUCAUCUCGUCGGCCUUGUCUGGUUCGCUAGUGCAGACGACCUCAAGUGUCUCAUUGCCGUGGAGGUCCACCUUCUCGAGUAUGGUGGUGUAGUCGAGCUUCUCGGCGGGGACGUGAACGUCGUCAAGGUUGUUGCUCUAGUUGGACAUCUCGCCACACUGACGCUUGGCAGACAGUUCCUUCGCCAGUGCCCUCCUCCAGCAACUCUGGGCUUGAAAGAGAGAUGUUUGUGGGGAGUUUGUAGUGGAGAUGGAAGCGGCAAUGGUGGUUCUCGGAAUGAGGCAGAGAUGGAAGACAAUGGGGUAUUUUCAGGGCAUGGAUGGGGACGUGGGGGAGGUGGUUCUUCACAGACAUGGGGGUAGUGGUCGUGGGGUCCCCGUUGUUGUCCAUCGUGGCAACCGCCAAGUUUGUGGCGUGGUAGGGUGGCCUGGAAGAACCAGCUUUCCAAACAUAAUUAUCUGCAUGGGCUUUUACUCUCGCAUUGAUUUGUCUUGUGAAGGUGAAAUUAUUAGUUUCUUGUCCCACUUGCAUGCCUCAGAGUCGGUGAUAAUGGCGCUUGUACUGCUCGACUAUCGAGUACUUGGACUGGUAAUUGACGUGUGGUUGAACUUAUCAAUACAAGUUCAGACUAUGUGUGUGAUGCUAAUUUUUUAAAACAUUUGUUUUUUGAAAUGAUUGUUUAUAUCAACAUAAUUUUUGAAAGUAUUUUAUACAGAUAAAUUAGUUUUUCAUCAGUACAGGUGUAUUAUAUUUGUACUUUCAGUUUUUGUUUGCUUGAGGUAAUUCAUUUAUGUACUGAUGGGCUUUCUGAACUGGGACCUGUAGAAGUUGUCAUAGGUUGUUGAAUGAUGUUUUUGGAGGUGUUCACAGGUGUGUUUGGUUAGUCUACCUUGAACUGAUGUGCCAGACUUAUUAGUACUGAUGUACUAUCAGAGUUUAAAUUCUUUUUAACAAAAUUUUGCUGAGUUACUGGUUAACAAUAGUGUUGAUGUUACAUAAAUCGAGAUCAAAUUUUCAAAUAUAUUUGUGAGUUCAUUCAGAAGGAUUAUCAAAUGGUUUACAUAAUAAUGUCACUGGUCCAGCGGGCAGAAAUCAAAAAUGAUAUUUAACUAUAGUACUAAUCUAGAAAUCGAUGAUAAAGCUAAAUAAGUUUUGGUAACGACAGUGUUUCUGAUACAUUCUUCAUUAUGUACCAAGGCAACCGAGAGUAAAAACUUAUUUUUGAAUUGACGCAGUAGCGCAACCACUAUGGAUUCUUCAGUCAUGAUGAUAGAGGCAAAGGUGUCCCGUCUUUCGAUGAGAUGAUGGAUAUCGCUUUGGUGGAAGUCGACUUUGACGAUCCGACUACGAACGUGCGAGGACGUCGCGCCUUAGCAAUCGCUAAACCAACUCCGAGAGGUUAUUGACCACGCCGGAGCACAAUCAACCUGACCACGA
rnacentral:lncRNA from 1 species